UGAAAUUUUUAGGAUUUUAGCUCUGAGAUUUCACUUUCAUUGUUUGCUUGGAUUCAUUCUCGAUGUGAUCACCUUUCGGCAAUUCAACUCUUCUUAGGAUUUGGGAAUGUGGUCAAGGAUGUUGAGGCUAGAGGAUUCAACCCAGGAUUGAUAGUGCUGCUGGUUGUUGGCGGGCUAGUUCUGGCAUUCCUAAUUGGAAAUUAUGCUCUCUACAUGUAUGCGCAGAAGACGCUUCCUCCCAAAAAGAAGAAGCCAAUCUCAAAGAAGAAGAUGAAGAGGGAAAGACUGAAGCAAGGUGUCUCUGCGCCUGGAGAGUGAAAUUUGAGAUGUGUUUCCUAUUCAUUACCAGUGUGUUGAACUCUC
rnacentral:misc_RNA from 1 species